UGGAGGAUCGUCUAAUGGUAGGACACAGGUCUCUGGAACCUGUUGUGAUGGUUCGAAUCCAUCUCCUCCAGCCA
rnacentral:tRNA from 2 species